GGGGAAUAUUGCGCAAUGGGGGGAACCCUGACGCAGCCAUGCCGCGUGAAUGAAGAAGGCCUUCGGGUUGUAAAGUUCUUUCGGUAUUGAGGAAGGUUGAUGUGUUAAUAGCACAUCAAAUUGACGUUAAAUACAGAAGAAGCACCGGCUAACUCCGUGCCAGCAGCCGCGGUAAUACGGAGGGUGCGAGCGUUAAUCGGAAUAACUGGGCGUAAAGGGCACGCAGGCGGUUAUUUAAGUGAGGUGUGAAAGCCCCGGGCUUAACCUGGGAAUUGCAUUUCAGACUGGGUAACUAGAGUACUUUAGGGAGGGGUAGAAUUCCACGUGUAGCGGUGAAAUGCGUAGAGAUGUGGAGGAAUACCGAAGGCGAAGGCAGCCCCUUGGGAAUGUACUGACGCUCAUGUGCGAAAGCGUGGGGAGCAAACAGGAUUAGAUACCCUGGUAGUCCACGCUGUAAACGCUGUCAAUUUGGGGGUUGGGGUUUAACUCUGGCGCCCGUAGCUAACGUGAUAAAUCGACCGCCUGGGGAGUACGGCCGCAAGGUUA
rnacentral:rRNA from 1 species